GGCCUUUUCCUGGUCCUCCUUGAUCCCGGGGGACUCAGAGGCGAUGCAGAACACUAUGUGAGGGGAAAAAAAACAAUAACAACAAAAAACAAAAACCAGGGGUAAAGAACCUGAGGCCCAAAGACAUUGCAAAUAGCUUGCCUGAAGUCUCACAGUGGGGAUUCAGCAGCAGGAACUCCAGCACAGGUGGUCUGGCUCUGGAACACAUGCUCUUAGAAACAGUCUUCAGUGUCAAGGAGGGUCAUUGAGGCCCACAGCACCCAGAGCACCACAAGACAGGGAAAGUCUCACCAAAGGACAAUGCCUC
rnacentral:lncRNA from 1 species